AACGAACGCUGGCGGCAUGCCUAACACAUGCAAGUCGAACGAAGGCUUCGGCCUUAGUGGCGCACGGGUGCGUAACGCGUGGGAAUCUGCCCCUUGGUUCGGGAUAACAGUUGGAAACGACUGCUAAUACCGGAUGAUAUCGCGAGAUCAAGGAUUUAUCGCCAGGGGAUGAGCCCGCGUCGGAUUAGCUAGUUGGUGGGGUAAAGGCCUACCAAGGCGACGAUCCGUAGCUGGUCUGAGAGGAUGAUCAGCCACACUGGGACUGAGACACGGCCCAGACUCCUACGGGAGGCAGCAGUGGGGAAUAUUGGACAAUGGGCGAAAGCCUGAUCCAGCAAUGCCGCGUGAGUGAUGAAGGCCUUAGGGUUGUAAAGCUCUUUUACCCGGGAUGAUAAUGACAGUACCGGGAGAAUAAGCCCCGGCUAACUCCGUGCCAGCCGCCGCCGUAA
rnacentral:rRNA from 1 species